GUUACAGAUGUGCGCGGGGACCUCGCAGUCCGCGCGGCCGCCUGCAGCCGCGGGGGGAGGGAGAGCUCCGCGGGGCGCCCGCCGGCUUCUGCGCGAGCGACGACGCUGCUUUCCCCGGCCGACCCGUCUCCUCUGCGCCCCGCGGAGGGCUGCAGGGAGCAUCCUUUAUCCUUUGCAGCGUUUAUCCCUCGCCAGGAAGAGCCUUCCUCGUGCCUGGCCAUUCCCAGGCUGGAUUCUUCGGAGGCGGGCUUCUACACGCUCCUUAGAGGAUUCUGACUUCCAGUGUCGGACGAGCCUGGGCAGUACAGCAUCUCCUGACCGGGGAUCGAAAGUGCCCUGGUAGGUCCCCUCCACACCCGGCUUCUCGUCAAGAAGAGCUUACCCAGGCAUUCAGGCAUCAGGAUCAAUGAUGAACUUUGAAAAAGAAAAAAGAUGGAAAAAUCAUCGAAAUUAUCAUAAUCUGUGCUCCCAACUAAAUGAGUGUUUCCUUGUAGCAUGUGCAGAGUCAAGGGAAAUUAUAUUCCUGUAUUAUACAGUCUACCAACAACCUA